rnacentral:tRNA from 1 species
GCCUUCGUGGUGUAGUGGUUCUGCACGCUGGGCCGAUGUUCCAGAGGUCCGUGGUUCGAUUCCCGGCGAAGGCG